GGCCCCGUGGCUUAGCCUGGUACUUUGUAAUAAACACAGAGCAGGAAAGAGCACACGACUGAUAAUCGUGAGGUCCCGUGUUCAAAGGCAAGUUACACUAUGCGAGUCGUAUGUAAGUGGGGUACUCACUUUGUUCGACCCCACGACAUCAGCAAAUCAGUGUAACGGCAUGAAAGUCACGGCGGGGCCA
rnacentral:tRNA from 1 species